CCUACGGGAGGCAGCAGUGGGGAAUAUUGCGCAAUGGGCGAAAGCCUGACGCAGCGACGUCGCGUGAGGGAUGAAGGUCUUCGGAUCGUUAACCUCUGUCAGCAGGGAAGCACGGUCACUGUGCUAAUCAGCAGUGAAUUGACGGUACCUGCAAAGGAAGCACCGGCUAACUCCGUGCCAGCAGCCGCGGUAAUACGGAGGGUGCGAGCGUUAAUCGGAAUUACUGGGCGUAAAGCGCUCGUAGGCGGUAUGUCAAGUCAAGGGUGAAAUCCCCGCGCUCAACGUGGGAACUGCCUUUGAAACUGGCGAGCUGGAGUGUGUGAGAGGAUAGUGGAAUUCGAGGUGUAGGAGUGAAAUGCGUAGAUAUCUGGAGGAACAUCGGUGGCGAAGGCGACUAUCUGGCACAUGACUGACGCUGAGGAGCGAAAGCGUGGGUAGCAAACAGGAUUAGAUACCCCUGUAGUC
rnacentral:rRNA from 1 species